UGUCACAGUCAUUAUCUGCCACUGCCACUGUCAUAACGGACAACAAUGAAAAAACAACAAGAAAUCAACAUUAUGGAAAAGUUUGUUUGUGUGAUGUAAGAAAUAUGAAAUUUUUGCAAUAUUAAAUUCAACAUGCAAGCAAAAUAGGCAGUUAUUUCUAAUAAAAAGUCACAAUGUUACUGAACCAGGUAAAUAGAUUUGCUAUCAAGCGUUCUUUUUUAAAUCAAUUUUACCGAUGUACGCAUACUAAGAACACAAAUGUUCUUUAUCCACUGGAAAGUAGGAGACUGAUAAAAGUUAAAGGAAAAGAUGCACCUGUGUUUCUGCAAGGUCUCAUUACAAACGACAUGCGGCAUUUUGAUGAAGGCGCCCAGUCUAUGUACGCUAUGUUUUUGAACAACAAGGGCAGAGUUUUGUAUGACACCCUUAUUCACAAAUGGGAAACAGACGAUUCAUUUCUGAUUGAGUGUGACAAAAAUGUAACUAGUUUAUUACAAAAACAUUUGAAAUUGUUCAAACUAAAAAGAUCUCUUGAUAUAGUAGACAUGAAUCAAGAUUUCAGGAUAUGGUCAUUGAUAAGUCCAACUAGUGAACCAAUUGAUGUAAAGCCAGAUCAAAAAAGUACGGUUAAAUUGUACAAAGAUCCCAGGUUGGUUGAUUUAGGCUACAGAGUAUUAACAUCUCCAGCCUUAAAAGGCUCUGAAGUAGCCGAGAGAAUUGGAGAGAAUAUAAAAACAGAAGAGAAUGAAGAUGGUUAUAAAUAUUUGAGGUACACUUUAGGAGUGGGUGAGGGUGCUGAAGACCUGGUUCCAACAGUAUGCUUUCCUUUAGAAGUGAACUGUGAUUAUCUCCAUGGAGUUAGUUUCCACAAAGGCUGUUAUAUUGGUCAAGAGUUAACAGCACGAGUGCACCAUACAGGUGUUGUAAGGAAACGAAUUAUGCCUUUAAAAUUCAAAGAAAAUGUAAAAGUGCACUUGGAGAAAGAUGCAGAAAUAUCAAUCACUGAUAAACCAAAAGUCAAAGUUGGAAAAUUAAAAAGUUAUCUUCGGAAUCGUGGUUUAGGUUUAGUUAGGAUAAAAGAAGGCCUUGAAGCUGAUAGUCUCUGUGUUGGGAACUGUUCCGCAGAGGUUGUGAAGCCAAGUUGGUGGCCGGUUGAGGCUCCCAAAGAGAAAUUAACUGCAACAAAAGAAUAGCUGAGACACACUUGAGCAGAAAAAUUGAAUAAAUCAAAACUUUUUUAUCACUUAUUAUAAAAUGACAGACAAGAGCAAAGAGCAGCCUGAACAAGUUGUUUACAAUUUCCAAUGUUCUGUUUGUGGUAUGACAGAGAAAGCUAACUACAAGGGAACCAAUCCACCAUUCUCCCGCAACAUAGAGUUAAAAUGGCCAAGUUAUGUGAUGAAGGACCCCUUCAGCCCGCCUGGCAAAGGUGAAAUCCUUGUGUUAGGCGCAGACUGUGCUAUGUGCAAUAAGUGUGUUUGUAUCAACAAAGAGUGCAGCAUAUUCUAUACGAAAAUGUUUUGUUUCAAUUGUGCUCAUAAUUCAAUUGACAAAUUACCAACAGAGAUCAAGUCAAAAUUUACUCAACUUAGGAAACAAUAAAUAUUUAUACUGAG